AGGGAAACAGCCCAGAACAUCAGCUAAGGCCCCUAAGCGUGUGCUAAGUGGGAAAGGAUGUGGAGUUGCUGAGACAACCAGGAGGUUGGCUUAGAAGCAGCCACCCUUGAAAGAGUGCGUAAUAGCUCACUGGUCAAGUGAUUCUGCGCCGAUAAUGUAGCGGGGCUCAAGUACACCGCCGAAGCUGUGUCACUCCAUUUAUUGGGGUGGGUAGGGGAGCGUCGUGUGGCCGGUGAAGCUGCGGGGGAACCCAGUGGUGGAGGCUAUGCGAGUGAGAAUGCAGGCAUGAGUAGCGAAAGACGGGUGAGAAACCCGUCCUCCGAAUGAUCAAGGGUUCCGGGGCUAGGUUAAUCCGCCCCGGGUUAGUCGGGACCUAAGGCGAGGCCGACAGGCGUAGUCGAUGGAUAACGGGUUGAUAUUCCCGUACCGAUAGUGUGAGGACCCAUACCGAGGCGUGUGAUGCUAACCACCCGAGCUGCUGCUUCCUUCCCUUUGGGUUGGUUGUUGGUGGUGAGGCUGGGAACCAAGUGCGUAGUAGGUCAGCGUGUGGGAUGACGCAGUGAGGUAGCUUCCGCGGGGUAAUGGUUGUCCCCGUUCAAGCGAGCAGCCCGAGUGCGAGUAAUGUUGUGCUCUUGUGGGUGAGUCGUGAUGAGGACCCUUUAUUGGGGUAGGUGGGUGAUCCUGGACUGCCGAGAAAAGUUCCGGCGUGACGAGCACUAUUGCCCGUACCCUAAACCGACUCAGGUGAUCAGGUAGAGAAUACUAAGGAGUUCGAGAGAAUCGUGGUUAAGGAACUCGGCAAAAUGCCCCCGUAACUUCGGGAGAAGGGGGGCCUGAGGUGUGAGAGCACUGAUGGCCGCAGAGACCAGGGAGAAGCGACUGUUUACUAAAAACACAGGUCCGUGCGAAGACGUAAGUCGCUGUAUACGGACUGACGCCUGC
rnacentral:rRNA from 1 species